UACGAAGGGGGCUAGCGUUGCUCGGAAUUACUGGGCGUAAAGGGAGCGUAGGCGGACUGUUAAGUCAGAGGUGAAAGCCCAGGGCUCAACCUUGGAAUUGCCUUUGAUACUGGCAGUCUUGAGUACGGAAGAGGUAUGUGGAACUCCGAGUGUAGAGGUGAAAUUCGUAGAUAUUCGGAAGAACACCAGUGGCGAAGGCGACAUACUGGUCCGUUACUGACGCUGAGGCUCGAAAGCGCGGGGAGCAAACAGGAUUAGAUACCCUGGUAGUCCACGCCGUAAACGAUGAGUGCUAGUUGUCGGCAUGCACGCAUGUCGGUGACGCAGCUAACGCAUUAAGCACUCCGCCUGGGGAGUACGGUCGCAAGAUUAAAACUCAAA
rnacentral:rRNA from 1 species